rnacentral:lncRNA from 1 species
CCACAGCCACAGCAAUAUGGGAUCCAAGGCGCAUUUGCAACCUACACUACAGCUCAUGGCAAUGCCGGAUCCUUUACCCACUGAGCGAGGCCAGGGAUCAAACCCGCAAUGUCAACGUUCCUGUAUGGGUUCAUUUCCAUUGCGCCAUGACAGGAACUCCAUAUUGACCCACAUUCUGAUUGAUCCUUUAAAAAUGGAAGCCCAGUCAUGUCACUUCUUGGAGCAAUAAGUGGUUCUCCAUCAACAGUAAAAGCCAAAGACCUCCACCUCCUUCUGCCAGCCCCUCGGACCACCCACCCAACCCUCUCCCACCUCAUUCUGCCCCGUCCUGUGGGCACAUCACACACCUGUGCUGUCCCCUCUGCCUGGAACGCUCAGCCUCAGACAUACAUCUCCACGACUCCUUCCCGCACCUUCUUCAGAGGCUGCUCAAAAACACACCCUUACGUAAAAAACAGAUACCCAACAAGGACCCACUGCAGAGCACAGGAAACGCCACUCCAUGGUCCAUAAUAACCCGUAAGAGAAAAGAAUAUGAAAAGGAAAAAAAUAUAUGUAUAGACCACACAUAACUGAAUCACUUUGCUGUACACCUAAAACUAACACAAUACAGCAAGUCAACUAUACUUCAAUAAAAUUAAAAAAAAAAGUCACCUCUCAAAGGCUGAGCUUUCUUACCCAGUUUGUUUAUUUCACAGCUCCUACCACUUUCUGGCUUACUUUACACUUCUGUGUGUCUGUCUGUGGUUUGUCUUCACCACCCCUCCCCUCCCCUGGAUGGAAGCUCCCGAAGGGUAGGAACUUCGCUUUUUCUUCCUUGUCUGUAAGUCCCAGAACACAUAACGGGUGACACACAGUGUCAGCAACAAAUACAGACAGGGCGAAUGGACAUGUCUCUACCCAACCUUGUAGGAAAGUGGGCAGGAUGAGGAUACACACGUUAAAGUAGGAUUAAAGUAGGGUGAGUCAGGAAUGCAGCAGGUUCCCACUGUGGUGCCGGAGGUUAAGGAUCCGGAGGUGUCACAGCAGUGGCUCAGGAUAACGAUGCAGAACACAGAAACAAGAGCCUACUGUACAGCACAGGAAACUCUACUCGAUAUCUUAUAAUAACCUAGACUAGCCAUACAUAUGGUUAUAUAUAUAUGUGUGUGUAUAAAUAUAUAUAUACAUAUAUAAUGUAUGUGUGUAUAACUGAGUCACUUUGUUGUACACUUGAAACUAACACAACACUGUAAAUCGACUAUACUUCGGUUUUUAAAAAACCCACAUAUAAGUGGAAUCAACAGGCAUGGAGCCAGAGUCGCACGUCCUAAAGCUCCAUCUGGGAGCAGGUGUAGAGGACUCAGCGGGGGUCCAGGCUGCCCUGCACAGAGGCUCACAGGAGCCAUGCCACAGGAGCAUCUGAGUGUGGCACCAGUGGCAUUUGCUUGUUCUCUCUGCAGAAGUCUGUGCAGGUGACGAUCCUGGGGCUGCACACCCACCACCGAGUGUGUUCCACCCACUGGUGUCUCCCUAGGGCAGGGGGGGGGGUGUGGUCCUGUGGGAAAAUGGAGGCGGGUCUUUCUCUUGGGGACCCGUGUGCCUGGGCUUUGGGGGUCCAAGCCACUGGAGCUGCCUGCGCCGCUGCAUCCUCUCCAGUCCUCCCCGGAGCGGGAGGACACAGGGAGUCAGCGCGACCCUCUCAAAGCUGGAGAAGUGCUUGAUAUUUCCUGUGAUCCAGCCAUCAUGAGAGGGAGAGGCUGCAGAAACGCGCUUCCCAUCACGCAAGCCCUCACAGAACGAGACGAACCAACACUUGGCAGAGUGAGAGAUAAGGAGGAUGCUUCAAAAAUAAAAUUAAAGAAAUAAAGACAUGUUGAUGAAAAUACAUGCAGGGAACAGUAAACCUCCAUGAAACGAUCAGGCCACCUCUCUCUCCUGGCACCAAAUCCAGUUCUAAUGAAUCUCUAAAGAGUCCCUAAUUAUGGGCGGGAUUUAUUUUUCCAGGCUUUCCACAGAAUCCGUUUCUGUAAAACAAGAGCAACGAGCUUUGUUCUAUGUUUUUUAGAAAAGGAAAACUGAACGUGCUGGCGAUUCUCCCUCUGUCCCUCGUGACCCUCAGCCCACACCCCCUGCCCCUGCUCCGAACCCUAGGCCAGACCCGGCUCCUGGGGGGCUUUGGACCCCACCCCCGCCAGAGGAUCUGGUCAAAGGGAGAGUCCAGGACACUUAUUCCUCUUUCCUCUCCUGGCCCAGGGCUCCCAUCAAGCACCCCAUCCGUGGCUCACAGCACUGGGGGCCCUGCUCUCCUUUGCUUCCGAGGCCCAGGGAGGUCACGGCCCCUCACUGUGGCUACUCUCUGGCGGCUUUGCCUUCUCCUCUUGGUCCUCUUGCCCUGCCUGCUUCUUGGUAAGGAGACCUUUCUUGAAACGCCCUCUGUCGCCUGAAGAACUUGUGUUCCGGGGGGGAACAUCCCAUUCAGGGGGAAGACGCAGCCUGGCAGCUGUGUCUCCUCCAGGAGCAGCAGGGCUGGGAGACGGGCCGAGCGCUCUGGAAACGGGCAGGGCAGGGAGCUUCAGCCACGUCCAAGGCCAGGCUGCUGGCUGGGGGCCUCUCUUGCUGGGGCAUGACCUCUCUCUGACCUCAAGGCCACCUAAGUUAUUUUAGGAAUGCAAGAGAAUGACGCACCAGGAUAAGAAUGAGAUGCUGUCAUCUCAGAAUAAAAGGUCCACCUUCCAUUCACCUCCGUGAGCUGUCAGAACCGAAAGGCUGUGCUUCUGGGCUGUCAACCGCCAGGGCGAAGACUGAAAAAGGAAUAUACCAGGAAGAUGACUGCACCGAACAGGAGUCUGAGACGUUCCGCUCGGUAGCCGGUGUCACGAUAGUAAUGCGAGCACCAGACUGUGUUAAGGUCCUUGGGAGAAAGAAGACCACUGAGUGUCGCCCGUUUCCAGCUGCAUAACCGGCAUUCUGUAGACCCAGCCAGAGGGCAUCUCUUUAAUGAAUUAGCCAUUUGGUUUUCUCACAUUAAAUGGAUGGGUAAAGGUGUCAUAUUAUCAUGGGGCGGCGUCUGGAUAGGAUGAUGCCCAGGGCAGUCGUGACCACAGAACGCUGCGACCGUGAACUUGGGGUUGGUGGGAUUGUUAACACCCCUUAGUAUGAAUCAGAGAGAGGCAUCUUCUCGAAAACAGAACUUCCCGUCCAUCAGCUGGAGCAGCGGGCGUGCUCCGUGGUUAAUGUCAAAGGGUUUGUAACUUGGAUAAGAUGCUAUGCUUGCUGCCCAAUCUCAUCUCAGAUCUGAUCAGUCCUCCAGAAACACAUUAAGACUAAAAAUGGUUUCAAAUGGAUCUGAGGGCAGUUUUAGCACCAAGCAAAGCAGCAUUCUGGCUAAUGUCCCUCCUCUAAUGAGGAGAAAGGGCGGUCGUAUUAGCCCUCUGACAUCAAUUUGUAACUUAUCAGCCGCCACAGCAGCCAGCCAGAUUUCAAGUGACCGGAAUAAGAGGAAGCAUUUCGUGACUUGGGAAGAGUACUUUCUAUUAUUCUCAAGGGUUCCAAGGCCAGAUCAUGGCAACUACCAGAUAUGUUCAAUAAUCAUAACCCAUGUUUUCUGAGCUCUGAUCCUGCACCCAGCAUUGUCUGCGUGACUUGCUGUGCCUGGUCUGAUUUGAUGCUCCAAGAUCUAGUGAGUGAGGGAUUCUUGCCUCCAUAUACUAGAAAGCAAAGAGUCCUAAUUUAGUAGACCUGUCUGAAUGCUAAUAUUGGUACUGGUGAUAAUAACAUCCAUGAAAUGGUUCGCCAAGCUAUAAAAAAAUAAUUCUUAAAAUGGAGUAGGGGAAAAGAGCAAUAUUCCAGCUGAAGCCAACUCUUCUGUUCUCUUGGCAAAUGACGCCCUAGCUCUUAGUCUCUCCCGGGGGUGAGUGUGCUUUCCAGCACCCUUCUGAUGGAAAGUUCCACAAAAUGUGUAAGAGGGUGCAAAGCACCCCCUCUGACCUCGCUCUCGGUAUUACCCUCCUGGUAAACCUGAGGGUGUGGGAUUCAGUGAGAAGCGCCUGACAGAGAGGCAUUUCAAACUGCAGGCUAAAGAUGCUGCUGGUCUUGGGGUGUGUGUGGUCACCUGAAUAUGCACGUCUAGUCCUGUUGGCUUUAUAGGGUCCCAUUCCAUUGCUUCUUGCGGUGCAUGACCAAAGAGGGUCUUCACUGUAAAAGAAAGGGACGCCUCUGGCCAAAACACCCACCCCGGGUGAAACCUGCCAGAACAUUUCCAGGCUGGCCCGCGGCCCAUGCCAAGGCUUCUGUGUGGACGACCACCCAGACGUUAGCACACUGGAGCCACCCGAACGUGGCUCCGGGUCAUUCUGUUUACGACACUCUUCUUAAUACCUUAUGGGCUUGGUAGCAUCAGCUCCAGCUAACAAGGAGUGUUCAUCCCCACAGGCUCCGAGAAGGGCUUCGCCUGUGUCUGUGACUUCCACAAACGUGUGGCUGCUGGCCCUGGUCCAGCCUGGGGAUGGUGCUAGAUUUUUACAACCAACGCUCAGUUAUCUCAAAAAAAAAAAAAAGCGGUUAUAGUCUAAUUGGAUUUCACAGAACAAGCAGGUGUGGGCUGAAGGGAAACCCCAGGUCCCUGAAAGUCUAAAACAGCUCUGCAGGAAAAACAAGGUGAGUUUG